CUGCGGAAGGAUCAUUACCGAGUGCGGGCCCCCUCGCGGGGCCCAACCUCCCACCCGUGUCUACCGUACCAUGUUGCUUCGGCGGGCCCGCCGCAAGGCCGCCGGGGGGGCACCCGCCCCUCGGGCCCGCGCCCGCCGGAGACCCCAACACGAACACUGUCUGAAUUAGUGGCGUCUGAGUCUACGUACAAAUCAGUUAAAACUUUCAACAAUGGAUCUCUUGGUUCCGGCAUCGAUGAAGAACGCAGCGAAAUGCGAUAAGUAAUGUGAAUUGCAGAAUUCAGUGAAUCAUCGAGUCUUUGAACGCACAUUGCGCCCCCUGGUAUUCCGGGGGGCAUGCCUGUCCGAGCGUCAUUGCUGCCCUCCAGCCCGGCUGGUGUGUUGGGCCGCCGUCCCCCCCGGGGGACGGGCCCGAAAGGCAGUGGCGGCGCCGCGUCCGGUCCCCGAGCGUAUGGGGCUCUGUCACCCGCUCCGUGGGCACCGGCCGGCUGCCGGCCUCGACCAUCUUCCUUUUUUUUCCAAGGUUGACCUCGGAUCAGGUAGGGAUACCCGCUGAACUUAAGCAUAUCAAUAAGCGGAGGAAAAGAAACCAACCGGGAUUGCCUCAGUAACGGCGAGUGAAGCGGCAAGAGCUCAAAUUUGAAAGCUGGCCCCUCCGGGGUCCGCGUUGUAAUUUGCAGAGGAUGCUUCGGGUGCGGCCCCUGUCUAAGUGCCCUGGAACGGGCCAUCGGAGAGGGUGAGAAUCCCGUCUGGGAUGGGGAGUCCGCGCCCGUGUGAAGCGCCUUCGACGAGUCGAGUUGUUUGGGAAUGCAGCUCUAAAUGGGUGGUAAAUUUCAUCUAAAGCUAAAUACUGGCCGGAGACCGAUAGCGCACAAGUAGAGUGAUCGAAAGAUGAAAAGCACUUUGAAAAGAGAGUUAAAUAGCACGUGAAAUUGUUGAAAGGGAAGCGCUUGCGACCAGACUCGCUCGCGGGGUUCAGCCGGGACUCGUCCCGGUGCACUUCCCCGCGGGCGGGCCAGCGUCGGUUUGGGCGGCCGUUCAAAGGCCCCGGGAAUGUAGCGCCCUUCGGGGCGCCUUAUAGCCCGGGGUGCAAUGCGGCCAGCCCGGACCGAGGAACGCGCUUCGGCACGGACGCUGGCAUAAUGGUCGCAAACGACC
rnacentral:sRNA from 1 species